CCUACGGGAGGCAGCAGUCGGGAAUAUUGGACAAUGGGGGAAACCCUGAUGCAGCGACGCCGCGUGCGUGAAGAAGGAUUUCGGUAUGUAAAGCGCUAUCAGCAGGGAAGAAACUUACGGUACCUUACUAACAAGCCUCCGCUAACUCCGGGCCAGCCGCCGCGGGAAUACGGAGGGGGCAAGCGUUAUCCGGAUUUAAUGGGGGGAAAGGGAGCGUAGGCGGGGCAGCAAGUUUGGUGUGAAAGCCCGGGGCCCAACCCCGGGACUGCAAUGGAAACUGAUGGACUGGAGUACAGGAGAGGUAAGCGGAAUUCCUAGUGUAGCGGUGAAAUGCGUAGAUAUUAGGAGGAACACCAGUGGCGAAGGCGGCUUACUGGACAGUAACUGACGUUGAGGCACGAAAGCGUGGGGAGCAAACAGGAUUAGAUACCCGAGUAGUC
rnacentral:rRNA from 1 species